CUGGGGGUCUUCUGCCCUGCGGACACUCAAGUUGGUUCCCUCCCCAGGUGGCUGAAAGAGGGAGGGCAGACGCGGCGGCAGCAGAGGCGCGGAGGGGCGCGGCCGCCCAGCCGCCAGCGCGCCCGCGGAGGCUCGGGGAGGUGGCAGCGGCUCCCGCGCUACCUCUGCGGCCGGCAGCUCCCACCAGGCGGCCCCGAGUCCACGGUCUCCCGGCAGCGCUCCCGGCCCGGGGUGAGGGCCAGCUCUUCCGCGGCGCGGCUCCCCGCGCAAGGUACUGACAAUAAAGCAACUGCAGUUUUUCUUGGGUUUGUGAACUAAGGAACUUCAGGAAGCCUGUAACUUCAGCAGGCAUUAGCUCACAACUCUGAAUCUAUUGGAAGGAACAAAGUUUUGGUGGAGAAGAUUUUAAUUUUGAUUAAGGUAUUGUUUGCAAAACUUCAGUGUGAAAUUCCUGCAGACCCCACAUUCAAUGAUAAGCUGUUGGAAUGGUCUGUAACCUCAUGUCUUCUGCAGAAGAAAUGCUGGUUUAUUACACAAUUCAACACUAUGGAAUUUCCAUGCCUGGUGAUAUUUGCGUCAUUAAUGACAGAACAGAACUCAUGACAAGGUAGAUGGUUAAUUCAUCAACAAUAAAUGUCACCUGAAUUUCAUUGUAGGUUUCAGGGGUUUUGCCAGUCUUUGCUUUUGACCUUAAAAUGCACUGAAAAAAAAAAUAGUCUAUAAUCUCACUUUGUUAAUAACAGUAAAAAAUAUUGUCUAGUUUGAGAUAUUUGCCUUUUUUUCAUAUCUUUAACAUAUGUUGCUCUUGUAUAUUUUUAUUGGUAUUAUCUUGCUAUUGCAGACCUUUACAAAGUACAAACGUUUUAUGGCCAAGCCAGUCUCCUGCUACCAAACAAAUAAGGUAGAUCAUUAAUUUUAUUUUUGUUGUUUCAUUCAGGUUCAUUACUUGAAGAAAACCAUUUUUAUCAGCUCGGAUACCAAACUGUAGUAGACUUGGUUGGUACAAAUGUUUUAAUCUAUUGUAAUGAGCUAAUACAGUUGAUGAUUCCUUAAGAA